GGACCCUGUCUGAGGAGAACCCCAGAAUCUCAUAUCCUCUUCAGCUCAGAAAACAUAUGAUUAUGCACAAGCGUGCCUGUUCAGGUUUGCACAGACAAUCUUUACAUUUAGAAUUGGCAUACAGACAUAAAAUUAAUGCAGUAAAAUAUAAAGCAUUUCAUUUAAACAUUCAUUCAUUAUUUUACAACCACAGAGAGCCGCAUCAGAUGGGUGCAGAGCCGCGGGGUGCCGUCCCCCUUACAUUCAGACACUCCCCUCACGCAGGUCCCCUUUUAUUCAGUUACCCCCUCUCCUCUAGUGCUAUUUAGAGAUCCUUUCCAAAGACAAGAGAGGCAAAAUGAGUUUUGAUCUGAAAAACAUACUUUUGCUGAAAUCAACGCUUGAAUUACGUAAUGAUGAGAACGGCUUAACCUCGCAUCAGAUUUUUCAUGAACGUUUAAAGGAGCAAGUUACGGGGACAAGGCCAUUCAUCCGUUAUAUGUUGAAUAGUAACGGCGAUUUUAUUCCUGUGGUACAACCAUUGUUAUGCAUGGAUUUUGAAGAACCGAUGGACACAACUUAAAAAAUACAACGCCGCACCCCCCCCCCCCCCCCCCCCACCACCACACAAACAGAUAAUAGUAUUAGAUUCCACUGUGAUGUUUUAGAAAAGGUAGGAAUUGUAUUCAGUCUCACCGUCCAAUAGCACCAUUUCCAUUCAAGAUUUUGUUUUAAAAAGACCGUAUAACUGUAAUGGGAAAAACCGUCUCGGAUCUCUUUCUCAGAAACACACCGUGAUGUCUGGUAAGUGGAAGAAUUUACUCAAACUCCACUUUUCAUUGUUUUAUCAAUCUACUGACUUCACGUCUAUUUUUAUCCGCAAUUGUUUUAUCGUCGGAUGAGGGUGAAUGGGAUGGCAAGAUACCUCUUUCUCAAUUAGAACACGAACGCGAGACAUCACCACUGCCACCAACCCCGCAAGAUGCAUUUAGUCAACUCAACAGAGCUUUGAACAAACUUAGUAAGUGAUUUUUGUACGUAAUUUAGUAACAUGAUAUAUCCCUUUCAGCUAAGAAAUAUCUUAUUUCUCCAGAUUGACAGGGCGGGAACAGAGACAAUCAGGAACGCCCCUCGCAGCGAUACGCCGAAAGUCAGGACUUUACCCCACCCACACCUCAACAUGGCUGUGACGAGGGGGUGGCGUCACAGCCAGAACAGCCACCGAAUUAUGUCGGAGGAGGAAUCAGCGGCUGACUCGGCUGCAAAGGACUAACAGAAUGAAAAUGGUCUACAUGCUUCUGCAGAUUACCUACGGGCUUGUGAACAUCGUGGGCAAUGUUCUGUCUCUGUGAGGAUUAAAAGAGAGAGAGAGAAGAGGAGGACCAAGGAUUUUUUGUCAUUCAUCAAGUUUAUAGUAGUUUUUAAAAUUUAUUUUUCUCUUUGUAUCAUGAGUCAUACGUCUGGAUACAGUGAUGUGUUACCGGAUUGGUUCGAUCUGAGUGGACUUUCAGAAAUGAUUGAAGUAGAUGAUGAUGAAUUUUCUUCUAAUAAUGAGAUUUUAGAUAGAUUUCUAGCCUGCCAAACUCCUCCUCCUUCAGAUGAGGCAGAAGAAAUUCUAUUAGGUGGGGGGGUGCUUGUGCACCUGCCCCUUUUGUCCGAAGUGCCCAAAGUGCCCUUUUUUCGGUCUUCCGUCAGAUUUUACCAUCCAAAGCUGUCAUACUUGGAUACAGGUUAGGCACUAGGACCAUGUGGAGGCAGCCUCCUCAAGCUGAACCCUUAGACCCGCCCACAAGCUCACUGAUUAAUUCUGCUGCGUCAUGCCAAUGUGUGAUUGGCUGUCCUUGCUGUCGCUCUAAAUCUGUCGCCAUGGAGACAACUGAAACCGGUGUUUCGCUUGACAACAGGGGUCUGCGCUCAUCUAGCUGAGUUUUAUAUUCUGCCUGCAUCACGUCAGCUGGAUGGAUUUUAAUAUCAGAGCUUUUGUUUACAUUAACAUUUAAGUCCGUGGUUAGUGUGUGUGGAGCAGAGUCAGCAUGUCUGAGACAGAAAAGAGGACACUAGAGAUUCUCCGCGUGAUAACUUCUGAAUAAAUUAUCGAAUAAAAAUAAUUCCAACGGUUUCUAAAAGCACAUAAAACGAGCUUUCCAACGACGUAUUACAUGAUGUAAUUCAUUUUAUUAGGAAAAUCGCUAUUAGAGGGAAACCAGCUUUUCAGCAUCACAGGAAACGGAGCAAACCGCGACGGGAGAGUGGACAAUGGAACGGAGGAGAUAACUGAUCAUCUGCAUAAGCAGCUUUUAUAAAGUUAUGGAAAGGUCUCAAGAGAAAAUCCACCUUAAUCAGGUGUCCCAGAAGUUUCUGGUGACAUGAGGGGCUGAUUACUGUCAAACUUUUAUCAACUAUUUACUAAAUGUAAGAUUCAGCUUAAUUCCAGCAUUAUUUAUACGUACAAUAAAUAUUUUUUAGCAGAAAAAAAUAAUUUUAUAUCUGGGCAGAAUUUUAUUAGUUGACUUUUUGCCAUGAAAUGUUUAGAUUUCACCUUUUAUUAUUACUUUUUAACUGGCUUAUCAAUAAUUAUAGAAAUAAUGGUAGAAAUUUCCAUACAGUUGUGAUGUGUGAGAGUUUUUUUUAUGUUACCUAAUAUUUAUUUUACUUCAUGCCGUUCUCUGAACCAGAGCAUAGACCUACCUGUGGUCACAGACAGGCUGCAGUCAGAAAUUUAAAACAUAAAAAAAGUCUAAACCGAUAAACACGGGGCAGGGUUCACACUGUUUUCUGACUGUAAUGAUGUUCAGAGUUUAAACUGUUCAUUUGAAAUAGUUUGACCAAGUCCUUUUGAGGUUCCUAUUUAGUAAUAAAUGUAAAGAAUUCAAAUCUUUUUUUUUUGUUUCAUUUAAGCACUGUUUUUACAGACUUGGAUAAACAUAAAUACUAAAUACAAACCAGACACUGAAAGCUGAGGUUGUUCUGAAAAAAAGAGCAGAGUUACAAACAUUUAGCACUUUUUGGUACUAUUUCACAGCCAGGAAAAAAAAAUACAUGUUAUAUUUAUGGUAAUAAGAGGGUUAAACAUGUCAUAAAUGUUCUGCCGCCCACGAAGAUGGUAAAAGUGAAUGUGAGCAUAACUCUAUAUGUUUUAUUACUUAAUUAUGUUUUUUUAUUGUUGACUAUUAUGUUAUUAUUAUAACACUAGAAAUAAAUAAUGAGGUAAAUAUUCUGGAUCAGCACCAUGAAGCAAAGUUAUGGCCAUAGUAUGUGCAGUAUUCUGGAAAUGGUAUGAAAGGAUAGUGUGUGUGUGUGUGUGUGUGUGAGUGCGUGUGUGUGUGUGUGUGUGGCCUGCUGUAAAGAGUGUUGUUAAGUUGGUAGCAGAGCUCUCAUGUUUAAUGUUAAGUUCAGAGUGAGAUAAUGGAAUUGGAUCAGGAAUUUCCUACAGACAGGAAAAGAUCUCAGCUACCACAGCUGUAGAUCAUGCUGGAUAACUUCCUGUGGUUGCAUUUAUUUUACUUAUUUUAUUUUAUUCAUAUUUUACCACCUCUUACAUGAGCUGUCUCUAGUCAAUUUCAAAUACAAAUACAGAUAGAAUGACAAUUUGGGACCAGCUCAGUGGCUUUGUGGUAGUGUCCUCCCUGGGACUGUGAGAUCAGGUUUGAUUCCCGGUUGGGUCAUACCAAAGACUUUAAAAAUGGGUCCCAAUGCCUCCCUGCUUGACACUCAGCUUUAAGGGGUUGGAUUGGGGGUAAAACCACCAAAUAGUUCCCGAGCACAGCCAAUGCUGCAUCUCACCACUGCCCUCCAAAGAGAUCACCAGUAUGUGAUGAUGACUAUGGGACUUUCUCCAGUUUUUACUUCUUUUUAAUGCAUUGCAUCACCAUCUGGUAUCAAAACAGGAUUCAGUAUUGGAAGAAAAUCAAAAAUCAAACAACUUGGAUUCAGAUCAGGGGCAAAAAUAUGGUUGUAACAUAAGUCAGCUUUAAAAACUAAAACAACUGUUUAUGAAAUAACGUUACCUUAAUGACAUAUUUUUCCUAGUUUACAUUAUGUUGUUUGAAACCAAGGGUCUCAUUAUCUGAAAUUUUUAACUUGUUGGAUCGUGAAUCUGUUAAAAAACUUUGCUCUAUAUGUGCCCUUUUUUUAACUUUGAGCACCCGCCCCUUCAAAGGUCUCUGCACGGCUCUGUUCAAAUGAUGAGAUUUUAGAACAAAUUCUAGCCAAACUCCUCCUCCUUCAGAUGAGGCCGAACAAAUUCUAUUAAAUACAGAUACGCCAUCUCAUCUUACUUUAGAUGAAAUUCGGAGGCAAAUAGAACAAUCAUACGAUGUUAGCCAACAGGGGGAGGGAGCGUUAAUGUUGCGUCCUCUUCCAAUGAUGCUUUUAAUCAGCGUGCAAUUAGAGAAAGCGUCUCUUUUUCAAUAAACCACGGAAUCAUAGACCCUGCAGAGUUUUAUCUCAACGUUAUGGAUAUAUUAAAUAGAUUUAGUGAAAGGGAAAAUCAGAUCGCUCGCGCAAAUGAUAGGAUUCAGUUCAAAAUCAACACUCAGCAUUCAACUCACCACGUUAACUUUAAUUAUGACGGUGCAAAUAUGAUGCAAAAUUUUCAAUAAUUAUUCGACAAAUUAGUCCAAUCGAAUGAAGCGCUGGCGGUUGACAGUGAUUUUAAUUUCAGACUGCAGGUGGUGAACAACCAUCUGGUGCUGGGAAACGAAAAAUUAAGAGUAUUCUUUAUCAGGAAUUAGUGGAUAAAAAGCGGAUUCAUCUCAUUUCACUCCCCGAGAGCGAUCAGGCCUUGUGUUUCGUGCUCAGCUUAGCCGGGCUGUCAAACCCUGCAGCGACAGAUACGGAGUUAAUGGAUGUGG